rnacentral:rRNA from 1 species
GGCUUAACCCGGAAACUGCAUUGAAUACUAUUCUGCUCGAGGGUUGGAGGGGGGACUGGAAUACUUGGUGUAGCAGUGAAAUGCGUAGAUAUCAAGUGGAACACCAGUGGCGAAGGCGAGUCCCUGGACAACUCCUGACACUGAGGCACGAAAGCUAGGGGAGCAAACAGGAUUAGAUACCCUGGUAGUCCUAGCCGUAAACGGUGCAUAUUUGCUGUAAAAGGAAUCGACCCCUUUUGUGGCGUAGCCAACGCGUUAAAUAUGCCGCCUGGGAAGUACGGUCGCAAGAUUAAAACUCAAAGAAGUUGACGGGGGCCUGCACAAGCGGUGGAGUAUGUGGCUUAAUUCGAUGCAACGCGAAGAACCUUACC